AUUAUAAUUGUGCUAGUUUUUAAUAGGGAUAGACCGAUUACCAAUCAGUUUUUUUGCAAUUAGCAGAUUAUCUGUAUCAGUGUUUUAUUUACCUGAUAACCGAUAAAGUUAAUUCAUCAAAAAGUCCCCUACUCUGGCUC